ACCACUGUGGUGUAGUGGCAUCUCUUUUGGUGUUUAUCCAAUAGGUCAUGGGUUCAAUCCCAAUGGUGGGA
rnacentral:tRNA from 1 species